rnacentral:rRNA from 1 species
GGAGUUAGCCGGUGCUUCUUCUGCGAGUAACGUCACAGAUGUAAGGUAUUAACUUACACCCUUUCCUCCUCGCUGAAAGUGCUUUACAACCCGAAGGCCUUCUUCACACACGCGGCAUGGCUGCAUCAGGGUUUCCCCCAUUGUGCAAUAUUCCCCACUGCUGCCUCCCGUAGGAGUCUGGGCCGUGUCUCAGUCCCAGUGUGGCUGAUCAUCCUCUCAGACCAGCUAGGGAUCGUCGCCUAGGUGAGCCUUUACCUCACCUACUAGCUAAUCCCACCUGGGCUUAUCCAUCAGCGCAAGGCCCGAAGGUCCCCUGCUUUCCCCCGUAGGGCGUAUGCGGUAUUAGCAGUCGUUUCCAACUGUUAUCCCCCACAAAUGGGCAAAUUCCCAGGCCAUUACUCACCCGUCCGCCGCUCGUCAUCUUCAAAAGCAAGCUUUUGAAAUGUUACCGCUCGACUUGCAUGUGUUAGGCCUGCCGCCAGCGUUCAAUCUGAGCCAUGAUCAAACUCUGA